rnacentral:piRNA from 1 species
UUAGAAAGAGUUGGCUCAACUCAACAGUA